AUUGAACGCUGGCGGCAGGCCUAACACAUGCAAGUCGAGCGGAUGAAGGGAGCUUGCUCCUGGAUUCAGCGGCGGACGGGUGAGUAAUGCCUAGGAAUCUGCCUGGUAGUGGGGGGUAACGUCCGGAAACGGGCGCUAAUACCGCAUACGUCCUGAGGGAGAAAGCGGGGGAUCUUCGGACCUCACGCUAUCAGAUGAGCCUAGGUCGGAUUAGCUAGUUGGUGGGGUAAAGGCCUACCAAGGCGACGAUCCGUAACUGGUCUGAGAGGAUGAUCAGUCACACUGGAACUGAGACACGGUCCAGACUCCUACGGGAGGCAGCAGUGGGGAAUAUUGGACAAUGGGCGAAAGCCUGAUCCAGCCAUGCCGCGUGUGUGAAGAAGGUCUUCGGAUUGUAAAGCACUUUAAGUUGGGAGGAAGGGCAGUAAGUUAAUACCUUGCUGUUUUGACGUUACCAACAGAAUAAGCACCGGCUAACUUCGUG
rnacentral:rRNA from 1 species